GGCUCUCGGCUAUGCACGCUCCGCGCGGGGGUGCGGGUGGGGGCUCCGGGCGCAACCCCCUCGGCCGUGGGUCCCAGCCCCAUACCCAGCCUACUGGACUUCCUCGGCCGGCUCCCUGCGCUGCGUUGCGCUGCGCUCCGGCCGGGAGAGGGGACUGGAGAAGGAUGAAGAUGGGACAUCCCAGGAAAAAACAAAUAUUUCCAACAGUGUCACCUUUUUGGGUAUGGAAGAAGAAUCCAAAAAAAAAAAUUGCAGAAGAUGAAACAAGGAAAAGGCUAGGAGAUCAAAGAGGUGAAAUUAGACAGCUUUAGACCAAUAAAUUUUUCCUCGGGUGACACGCAGCAAGAUGCAAAGAGAAAGACCCUGGCCGCCGCCACCCGCCCGCCGCCUGUCUAGACUGUUGGCUGGAGCAACCAAGAGCGACAUCUUUUAAUGUAGAACCUGCCCUGUAAGAGGUGACUUGAGGAAUGGAGUGGAGAACGAUUUCAGGGGCCCAGAGCCUGUGCCAAAGUCCAGGCCUGGCUUGUUUUACCCAGAGCCAGUCCAAGAGGUUUUGGCAGAAGGAGCUGCCCCUCUGCCUGGGCCAAGGAGGGCCAGAAGCCCGCUGUGGACAAGGCCUCAGGCUUCCCAGACCUGCAUCAGCCAGUGGCUUAGACCUUUUUUCUUGGCUUCUCACUGCCCUCCUGUCUUCUGUAAUCAGAUUUUAUUUUAUUUUAUUAAAUAUUAUUUAUUUUUGAAUCAAUGAGAGAGAGGAGAAAGAGAACACCACUCUUUAUAGCCCGAUUUUAAGAACAAACAAACAAAAAGGCCAAAGUCAGGUUUUAAAUAAGGCCCCUGCAGCUGCAUGUUGUCCAGCCAUCGCUCUCGUACCCAGUAAGCAGAAAGACACGGAAUGCAUUGGUUAAACAGAAGAACAUUCACAAAAAAGACCGUUGGAUGCUUUGCCCAGAGCAGGCUAUGCAAGGCUGGGUUUCUAAUCGGCCAGAUUGUAUUCCUGUAAAGACGCCCCCCAUUUUCAGGAACUGGGUUCCUACCUACCAAGCAGGCUGUUUUGCUUGCUUCUGAUUUCCCAGUUCAUCCUCAAUAUUUAAAUCCAGCUAAGAAGUGGACCUAUUUCUGGAGAGUCUUGGUAGCUAGCUUCUCCAAAUAUUUCUUCCCCUGCAAUAUGCCCCCCCUUUCUUUGCGGGCUAAUUGGAAUCCAUCGACUGAGCGACUGCUGAUCCAGAUCAGGGAGUGAGGGCAGAUCUGUCCCCAACUAGUACACAGGAGUGGACUGGAGAGCUAGUGUUUGAAACUUUUGGGGAAGCUUUCAGGGACUGUGAAGAGCUGCCUUCCAGUCAGUGAUCAGCCAAGGGCAACCCAAGAGGCCUGACCUGGACAGUCUCUGUGGAUGAGCACCUACCUGGGGCUUCCCAGAACAGAAGCACUGGUCACCCACAAGCUCCUUCGCCAUUUAUUCACAGUCACACAAAUUGAGUUUUCUAUCUGCAGCUUGGAGACCCGGCCAUUGACGGUUCUCUGGAAAACUUGUAAACCCGUCUUACAGAAGCUGUGAAACUGUGUGUAUUAUAAUAAGGAUAAUACAAGGGAGACAUGUGCCUGUAAUUCCAAUGUGUUUUUAAACUGAGGAAAAGGGGUUUGCAGGGAGGGGAGGGGAGAGAGACACCCUGGGAGAACUGUCUGCCAAAAUCCAGCCUCUGGUUUUACAGUUGCUGGAUUGUUGGAUGUUGUAAACAGUUUGUGGGCUUGGUGAAGAUUAACUACCUAAAUAAAUGGACCACUGUGGCGUGUUCACAGCCUCUGGGGGUAUUCCAAGGACUGUC